rnacentral:rRNA from 1 species
GACGAACGCUGGCGGCGUGCUUAACACAUGCAAGUCGAACGGAAAGGCCCUGCUUUUGUGGGGUGCUCGAGUGGCGAACGGGUGAGUAACACGUGAGUAACCUGCCCUUGACUUUGGGAUAACUUCAGGAAACUGGGGCUUAUACCGGAUAGGAGCUCCUGCUGCAUGGUGGGGGUUGGAAAGUUUCGGCGGUUGGGGAUGGACUCGCGGUUUAUCAGCUUGUUGGUGGGGUAGUGGCUUAACAAGGCUUUGACGGGUAGCCGGCCUGGGAGGGUGACCGGCCACAUUGGUGCUGAGAUACGGCCCAGACUCCUACGGGAGGCAGCAGUGGGGAAUAUUGCACAAUGGGCGGAAGCCUGAUGCAGCAACGCCGCGUGCGGGAUGACGGCCUUCGGGUUGUAAACCGCUUUCGCCGGUGACGAAGCGUGAGUGACGGUAAUGGGUGAAGAAGCACCGGCUAACUACGUG